rnacentral:tRNA from 1 species
GGAUCUAUAACUCAAUGGUUAGAGUAACCGGCUCAUAACCGGUCAGUUGCUGGUUCGAGUCCUGCUAGAUCCACCA